rnacentral:rRNA from 1 species
UACGAAGGGGGCUAGCGUUGCUCGGAAUCACUGGGCGUAAAAGGUGCGUAGGCGGACUUUUAAGUCAGGGGUGAAAUCCUGGAGCUCAACUCCAGAACUGCCCUUGAUACUGGAAGCCUUGAGUUCGGGAGAGGUGAGUGGAACUGCGAGUGUAGAGGUGAAAUUCGUAGAUAUUCGCAAGAACACCAGUGGCGAAGGCGGCUCACUGGCCCGAUACUGACGCUGAGGCACGAAAGCGUGGGGAGCAAACAGG